GUUGCUUACACCUCCGCUCAGACAAGAAACAUCCAGACAGGAGAUCCCCAGGGCUAUCAGACACUGCCAAGCCUGUGGACACCGAGAGGGUUGGAGGUCAGAAGAGGGUCCAGCAGGGUACUGGCGGUGGCAGACCUCUGCGAGGUGCAUCCCUGUGACGACCCCCAGGCGUGCACCCAGCCUCUGCAGAAGGAGGCCUAUGAUGGUGGCCACCAACAACACCCACAAGAGCUGAGGGAGUGAGACAGAGAGACAGAGUGAGAUAGAGACUGGAAACAACACAAUGAUAAAGCAUGGGAGUAAAUGUAAUAGAUGCUACUAAGUGCAAUAAGAAUCAAACAACUGAAUCUACAAUUUUACUGUUCAACCAGAGAAAGACCUUUCAGGAAAUUGUUUUUACCACAUCCAUUAUUUUUCAGUCUGUGUUCACCUUAAAGCCAGCUAUAGCUCCAGACUGUAGAUCAGACUCAAUGUUUCCUGGGUCCAGAUAGGCAAUGCUCAUCAAGAAACCUGGUCCCGUAAAGGCCCAGAGUUUGCGAAAACUGAAAGUCUGAAAGAGGUAAUCAGAAAUAGCACAAUGAAUAGACACUACAUUAUGUCUUUGUGAGUCAAUCAACCUCGCAAGGUCAUAAUAACCCAUGUGAUCCCAAAGAGUCUGAGGGUUAAUUCCUGAGAUACCAUAGACUGUGAGGCUCUAUGCUAAUAAUCUGGGUGAGAUCCUAGGAUGUGUGUGUUCAUCCCUGUGAGGCUCUGUGCUAAUAAUCUGUGUGAGAUCCUAGGAUGUGUGUGUUCAUCCCUGUGAGGCUCUGUGCUAAUAAUCUGUGUGAGAUCCUAGGAUGUGUGUGUUCAUCCCUGUGAGGCUCUGUGCUAAUAAUCUGUGUGAGAUCCUAGGAUGUGUGUGUUCAUCCCUGUGAGGCUCUGUGCUAAUAAUCUGUGUGAGAUCCUAGGAUGUGUGUGUUCAUCCCUGUGAGGCUCUGUGCUAAUAAUCUGUGUGAGAUCCUAGGAUGUGUGUGUUCAUCCCUGUGAGGCUCUGUGCUAAUAAUCUGUGUGAGAUCCUAGGAUGUGUGUGUUCAUCCCUGUGAGGCUCUGUGCUAAUAAUCUGUGUGAGAUCCUAGGAUGUGUGUGUUCAUCCCUGUGAGGCUCUGUGCUAAUAAUCUGUGUGAGAUCCUAGGAUGUGUGUUCAUCCCUGUGAGGUGUUAAUAAUCUGUGUGAGAUCCUAGGAUGUGUGUUCAUCCCUGUGAGGUGCUAAUAAUCUGUGUGAGAUCCUAGGAUGUGUUCAUCCCUGUGAGGU